rfam:Zea mays cultivar B73 chromosome 5, whole genome shotgun sequence.
ACUCUAGUAUCCAUCCCGAUCUACAUGUAUUGAGGUGGAUUGGGUGUAAAUUAGUUUAACUUACACCCCAAUCCACCUCAAUACAUGUGGGUUGGGGUGAAUACUAGA